GACACUGGCAGCAUUUUGACAGCUGUAUUGUGCACUUUGGGUUUAAAGGGACAGUCUAGUCAAAAAUACAUUUUCAUGAUUCAGAUAGGGCAUGUAAUUUUAAACCACUUUCUAAUUUACUUUUAUAAUCAAUUUUGCUUUGUUCUCUUGGUAUUCUUAGUUGAAAGCUAAACCUAGGUAGGCUCAUAUGCUAAUUUCUAAGCCCUUGAAGGCAGUCACUUAUCUCAGUGCAUUUUGACAGUUUUUCACAACUAGAGGACGUUAGUUCAUGUUUGCUAUAUAGAUAGAUAAUAUGGUGCUCAUGCCCAUGAAGUUACCUAGGAGUCAGCACUGAUUGGCUAAAAUGCAAGUCUGUCAAAAGAACUGAAAUAAAGGGGGCAGUCUACAGAGGCUUAGAUACAAGGUAAUUACAUAGGUAAAAAGUAUAUUAAUAUAACCAUGAUAGUUAUGCAAAACUGGAGAAUGGGUUAUAAAGGGAUAAUCUAUCUUUUUAAACAAUAAAAGUUCUGGUGUAGACUUUCCCUUUAACUCUUUUUAUACAGAGCAGGAACUUUACAUCUGUGCAGUAAUUGCUUUGUUCUCUAUAUAUUAUUACAUAUGCUUUAUUACUUUUAAACUCGUUAUAAACAUUGCAAAAAUGUAAACCAUCCAAUCUGUAUUGUUUUUAAAAAAUGUUUAUUUUUUAAAACUUUUCUGUUAUAUUUUUAAUUAAUUUUCUCCAUAUUUUAUUAAACUAGGAUGAGAAAGUUGAAUUUGAUUUAAAGUAAUAAAAAUAAUUUUGGAGGUUACUUGAUAGUUUUCAAUAAAUCUAAGGUAUUAGAGCCUGAAGAUCAAAACUUUGCAGGGGCAGAUAUGAAAAGAGCGACGUUAGCAGGGAACAGGGGGCGCACUUUAAAAAUUAAAUCCUGCAACUAAUACCCAUCAGAUGACUCUGCUUUCAGCAUAAAGUACCCACAAUUGCCUCUAUUUUAGUAUACAUGCAUUUUUCUAUUAGAGUAAUGAGUAUUUUGCAUAGUUUGACAAAUCUCGCUACCUUUAAAGGGAUAUAAAACACAAACAUUUUCUUUUGUGAUUCAGACAGAGCAUACAGUUUUCACAAAGCUUCCAAUUUACUUCUAUUAUUAAAUUUGCUUUGUUCCAUGGCAAUUCUUUGUUGAAGAGAUAGCUAGAUAGGUGUCUGGAGCACUUCAUGGCAGGAAAUUGUGCUCUUGCAAAUGGAUAACACUUUUGCAAAACUGCUGCUAUAUAGUGCUCCAGACAUGUGCACGCUCAUGAGCUUACAUCCCUGCUUUUCAACAAAAGCAAAUACCAAGAGAAAGAAAAAAACAUUUGAUAAUAGAAGUAAAUUUGAAACGUUUUUUAAAAAUUGCAUGCGCUAUCUGAAUCAUAAAAAAAAGUGCUUUAUGCAUCUUUAAAGGAAAAAAACACCAAGAUCUGCAGGGGAAAAAUGUUUAUAGAAUACAGAAGAGGAGACAUUUUAGCUACACCAAGCCCACUAGCGAGACAGUGAAACUCAUUUUACAAUAAAGAAUUAUAUAUUAUAAAUAGUUUUUCCACUGUGCAGUGUACUUUUGUUUGCUGUUGUGCACUUGUUUCUUGUGAUUAAACAAUACAAUUCUUUCUGUGUAUUUUUGUUUCAAUACUUAAUGUAUUCAUUUUAUUUAAAUUUUAAAUUAUGAUUUAUUUUUUUUGAGUCCCCAUGUAGUGUAUGCAUCGCGUUCACAUACAUAAAAGCAGAGAAAAUCCCUUUGCAAGACGCACUGUUCUCAAGGCACUUUUUUGGCUGCAAAUCUUGAGCAAUACAUGUUCCAAGGUGCAGAGGAUUUAACACAAGGAAACAGCUUUCAACGAGGGUCCUUUCCUUUGAGGUGUCGCAUAAUCCGUGUUUCCAGCUGUUACAGAUUAAUGAUUAGACUCUGCAGUAAUUGCGUGAAAUAGGGCCAUUAAAUGGUCGUAUCUACAAAGAGCUUUAUUUAAAACAAAUACUACAAAUUGCAACAUCUUAAAGUGCUGGCAUAGUAAUUAUGGGCAAAGGGUUUAUUACUCAAUGUUGCCUUACUUGGCAGAAUUAUUUACUGAGUUUUAAAGUAACAAAUGUUUUACAUAAUUGUACCCUAAAAGUUUUAUUUAGGUGCAUUUUAUUCAUGUGCAUCCAACUAGCAAUGUUUUAAAUGUUUGUGUUAUGGUGUAAAGAUCUAAAUGUACAGUGACUCCCUAUUUAUGUGGGUCUUUUUUUUUUGUAUUUGGUCCCCUGAGCUAUCUGAGCCCUUAAAUGAACAUUCUGGGAAUUAUUUUAUGUAAAUGAAAAAGUAGCAAUUGGAUUUGCUUACAUUUCUUUUGCGCAAAGAAAAGGUUAUGUAAAACAUUUUUUAAUUUAAAUGUACUGUGAGACUUGCAGGAAAUGUCUGUAUGUGAACAACUGAUACUAAGGGCUAGAUUACAAGUGGAGCACUAAAUUGUGCGAUUAUUAAACAGUCAUUACAAAUGGCUGGUUAUUGCUACAGCGAGCUCGCGGUAGCAAUUAGUGCUCAGAAAAGUAACCAGAAGUCAAAAUAGAGGGCAUUGUAGUUUUUUAUUAAAAAAAAACAAUGUAGCAUUUGUUUGACGCACAUACAAUCAUAUUACUCAGUUUUCGUUGUACUUUACAUUCAUUUUUAUAUAUAUAAAAGUACAUAGCUUUUACUACCAGUGCGAUAAGAGCAUUAUAUAUUUUGAGACAAACUUGCAAGCUUUGAUUUCACAAGCUAAAACAUUGAGAUCUUCAGGUGUAGCAUGCUUAGAGAAUAAAGCGAGACCUAUGAGAAAAUUUCAGAUACACCCAAGAAUAACCCUGCUGAACCCAAGGCUGCAAAACUCGAUUUACAAUCCAAAAAUAAAGUAAACUUUGCAUUUUGUACUUUUAAGUACUAUUUUAAGGUUGUAUUUUAAAACUAUAUUAACCCCUUAAGGACUGGGCAUUUCAGACUAAAACUUCCCCAAAAGAACAGAGCAUUUUUAGCAUUUUUUGCUAUCACUCCAUUUAAACAGAAAUAGAGCCUUUUUUUUAUUUACCUAUCAAAACUAUAUUUUUUUUUUAGGUAGACAACCCAAAGUAUUGAUCUAGGCCCAUUUUGGGUAUAUUUAAUGCCACAAUUUCACCACCAAUGCGAUCAAAUAAAAAAAAUUGUUAACUUUUUCACAAACUUUAGGAUUCUCAUUGAACUUAUUUACAUACCGCUUGUAUAAUCUUGUAUGCUAUCUGCCAGUACCCAGUUUUCUAUAUAUUUUUUCUUUAAUAAAAAAAAUUAAAAAAAUAUAUCACAAUUGUCUCUAGUUUUUAGCUGCCCCCUCCCUCAUUUAACCCACCUUUUCCUCCACAAUUGAUAAUGGAAGUAAUUAGGAGACUUGUUUUCAAAUGGCUUACUUGAUUUGAAUCAUAAAAGUUUAAUUUGGAAUUUACUGUCCCUUUAAGUAAGAACUGCGUAAUGUAUAUUUGCAAAUCGGUUUGUAUUAUUAAUAUACAUUUGAAUGUGUACUGUUAACACUAUUUUUAAUACAUACUCUGUUUUUUUAUUGAACUGUCAAUACACUUUUACAGUGCUAUUUAUUAACCUCUGUACUCUUCUUUGUAUACAGAAAUGUAGAAUAUGUCCAUUUGCAAGUUCAAGGUCAAAGGUGCCUUUAGAGAAUACAGUGAAGAACUUUGUAGCACUGGCAGAUUUUUUAGAGAAUUUCACCUGAGCAGAUAGCUUUAGAGAAUCGUACCGUAAGACAUUACUAGACGUGUUCAUUCAGUGGUUUCGGAUAGCUCCGAAUGCUGAAGAAGGUGGCCCUUCUUGUGGGUUUGCUUUCAGCAAUCUGCAUUCAGAGGUAUCCGAAUCCUCUGAAUCACACAUAUAGACAUUACCUUCUUUGUAAGCAUAAACUAUUCCUUAUCCCAGUACAUCUGACCUUUAUGAUGGAUACAUCUUGCUCAAUGCUUUUCAAUCAUAACUUGGGAAUAUGCUAGUAAAUUUAACAAACACUUAUUAAUCCCUAAUCUGCCGUCCCCAACGUCACCGCCAAUAUAUUAAAGUUAUUAACCCCUAAAUCUAAGUCUAACCCUAACACCCCCUAACUUAAAUAUAAUUUAAAUAAAUCUAAAUUAAAUUACUAUUAUUACUAGGGUUGCACAGAUACCGAUACUAGUAUCGGUACCGAUACCAAGUACUUGCAUGAGUACUUAUACUCGUGCAAAUGCACCGAUACUUAAACCGAUACCUCCACUUACUACCCAUAUGCUAUCUUCUGGUGUUUUUUUUCAAACUGCAUGUUCCCAUUUUAUUUAAAGCUGGAGUGGAGACAUAACUAAAAAUUGUUUACUACUGUUCUGCCAAUACAAAUUGCUCUUAUUUGUAUUAUUGUAGGAGAGAUCACUAUUGCGUUCAGACAAACCCCUGAAGUACUGGGCAGUUAUUAAACUGUGAUUUCCAGCUCUGGCUAAAAUGGCCCAAAAAUAUCUUUCUGCCCCAUGCAGUAGUGUGGAAAGAUGAACCUCCUUACUGAUAGCAAAAACAGACUUAUAGCUGAACAUGCAGAGAUGCUUCUGUUCUGUUCCUUAAAAAGAACUUGCCACUAACUUUUGAAAAAUUAUUCUAAUUGCUAGAUUGCCUUUUAUACUACUAGUUCUCAUCUUGCACAAUUAUGUUCAAAACAUACUGUACUCUGAGGAACAUCUUAGCUUAUAUAAUUGCAGGAAGAGUACUCAUAGGAAAACUUAAGUUAAUCCCAAUGAACACUCAUACUGCAAUUAUAGGACUAGAUUUAGAUUACAUUUGAUUGGUAAGCUUUACCAAUGCUCUGUUCACAUUUCCAACUCCAUAGCCUUUAAUAGAGUAGGCAUUGGUAAAGCUUACCAGUCAAAUGUAAUCUAGCCCAUAGUGUUGUUCACCAUGAUUAAACAGUAUUCUGUUCUAUUUUUUACUGUAUGGCACUUUUGGUUGGUUGCAAUCUUAUAUUUGUUAUUUAUUGCUGUUGUUAAUAUAUUUUAUUGUAAUAUUUUUAUUUCUAAACAUGUUUUAAACAUGUUUUAAACAUGUUCUGUGAACUUUGUGACAAAUAAAACCUGUUUUAUUAUUUCAUAA